rnacentral:lncRNA from 1 species
CCUUCACCAGCCUGCCUGUGUGAGACUGUUGGUCUGUGUGCCCAGCUCCCUGUGGCCUGUGUGUAUGUGCCAAAGCUAGCCAGUGUGUGGCUAUGUGAGGCAGGCCACCUGCCUCACCCAUGGACAAGGCCCCAGGUUCAAUCCCCCAGAGGAAACCACCAUCAAACAGAGGAAAAACCAAUCCUGUCUCUUCUGAGUCAUUCUCUUUCCUUCUAAGGGCACUGCCUGGGUCUUUUCUUGGGCUGGAAAAAUGCUCUGCUGAGAUGCAUAGAAACAAAAGAGCAGUUAGGUUCCUUAGAUUGGGUUCCAAAGGCCCACCGCUGCUACAGUACUCAGUUUUCCAGGCCCAGAGACAACUCUUAAGAAACAAAACCUGAAGAAGCCUGCUUAUACAGAAUUGGCAAGACCCGGACAAAGGAUGAAAAGGUGGUCACAGUGUUAAACAUUACAUGACGUUCAUUAGCAUGGUGAAAACAAACAACAAAUCAAAAAGGAGUCCAAGGGCCUGGCAGAAGAAUCAUAUCAGGUAUGUUAUGCCCCAACAUUGUGCUGAUGACUUUGCCAACAUCUCAAGAUGCAUUGUGGCUUGCAAAUGCCAUCCAGUCUCUGCCUCCAUCUUGAUAUCAUGUUUCGGGUGUGUGUGUGGGGGGGAUUCUUUUUUUUUGUUGUUUUUUGUUUGUUUGUUUGUUUUGUUUUUCGAGACAGGGUUUCUCUGUGCAGUUUGGAGCCUAUCCUGGCACUGGCUCUGGAGACCAGGCUGGCCUCAAACUCACAGAGAUCCGCCUGCCUCUGCCUCCCGAGUGCUGGGAUUAAAGGCGUGCGCCACCAACGCCCCACUGUGUGGGGGAUUCUUACCCCUCCCAAAAACUGACUUAAAUGAGGUUUAGAGUCUCCAGUUCAUCAAGUUCUUAUCAUUCAGUAGUAGAAGAACAGACUGUGGCCUUCACCCAGGUCCUCACUCUUGCAGGGCUGCAUCUCCUAGUUGAUUCACAACUUCAGUGCCCUUCAUGAACAAUGUAAUUGUUCUUGCUAAUUGCUGUGGAAUAAUCAUUUUGUACAUUGCAAAGAUUUGUCUCUCGAAUUGGUUUAAUAAAAAGCUGACUGGCUGGUACCCAGGCAGGAAGUGUAGGUGGGAAACCAAACUAAGAAUGCUGGGAUGAAGAAGGGCAGAGAUGCCAGCAGAUGCAAAGGAAACAGGGCGUGUAGAAAAGUCAUGAGCCACAAGGCAGAGGCUCAUGAUAAGAUAAGAAAUCCGGGUUAAUUUCAAGUGUAAGAGUUCGGUAGAUGGAAAUAGAAGCAGACAUCCACAGUCAAACACUGAGCAGAACUCUGGAAUCCAGCUGCAGACAGGGAGGAGUGAUGAGCAAAGGGGUCAAGACCAGGCUGGAGGAACCCACAGAAACAGCUGACCUGAAUAAGGGGGAGCUCAUGAGCCCCAGACUGACAUCUGGGAAACCAGCAUAGGACCGACCCAGACUCCCUGAACGUGGGUGUCAGUUAGGAGGUCUGGGCAAUCUAUGGGGCCUCUGGCAGUGGAUCAGUAUUUAUCGUUAGUGCACAAUUGGACUUUGGGAGCCUAUUCCACAUAGAGGGAUACUCUCCCAGUCUAGACACAUGGGGGAGGCCCUAGGCCCUGCUCCAAAUGAUGUGACAGACUUUGAAGAUCACCCAUGGAAGGCCUCACCCUCCCUGGGAUGCAGAAAGGGUUGGUGGGAGGCGGGGAAGGAGGAGAGGGUGAGGGAACUGGGAUUGACACAUAAAACAAGAUUGUUUCUAAUUUAAAUUUAAAAAAAGCCAGAAAAAAAAGUUAGGUAAUAAAAAGCCUGAGCUAUUAGCUAAGCAUUUAUAAUUAAUAUUAAGACUCUGAGUGGUUAUUGGAGAGCGACUGCCAGGACAGGAAAACUCCACCUACAGCAGAUGCCAAUGAGAAGCUAUGGCCCUAAGGACAGUAGCCUGUCUACAUCCCCAGUGGGCCUACUCAUAUCCCCGAGGGGCACAGUGGCUCACAGCUUGCUAAAUCGGCUUUACAGAUACAUCUUGACUAUAAACUAAACAGAGACCCCCCUACCCAGCCUUCUCCUUUAAGACUCAUGUACACAAAGAUCUUUUUCAAGGUAUUGACCCCCCCAGUUUUAAUCUUCCAUGUGUCCAAACCCAGCACCUCUCCCACAGCUCCACAGCAAUCUGUCAAGAGAACUCUUUCCUGGUCUGACAGUUGACUCCGGCAUCUCUGGCAAGGAAUCACUGUUUGAGACCAUCAAGAGGAGUCUCCCUCCACCUGGUGAGACCCAUCUAGUUCAUUUUCACUUUUGGACAUAAGGUCAAUUUCUUCAGGGCUCCCAUUUGGCUCAGAGCGAGCCAUCUAUCUCCUGAUUUUAUGGCUGCAGAAGUCACUCCAUCAGACCAUCAUUGGCUUUUUCUGAGCAGGGCGAUCCAUCUGUGUAAUUAAUCUAUACCCCUCUCCUGCCCAGACCCAGCUAGCACAGCCCUGCCUGCUGCUAAUCAUUGUAGUUUGAAAGAUGGCAACAAAGGCCUUCCAUUCUGAUUUUCAACCCCAAGGCAUGUACCCACGGAGCUCCUGUUGUUCUUGGCCUUCCUGCAAGUGUGCUGUUAAUUAAACUCUGCAAAUUGUUAUUUCCAGACAAAGGGUGCCAAGGGCAGGGCAGGCACGAUUUGCCUAUCAUCCAUCAGCUUUUGAUAUGCAGGCAUACUUUCUGGGACAGUGAGUCAUGGGUCCCUGGCCCUGGCAGGGAGCUUGCUGAAGAUCCCUCCAUAGCAUCUGGGGAGAGGGGUGGAGCCUGAUGUCUGGGAAGAUGAAUUGCAAACUGGACUGCUGGGGUAUGAAUUCCAUGUCUACCCUGAGAGAGUUCCUGCAAUGGUGGAAGAGCCUCCUCACUGCCCAGGGCCUCACUCUCCCCAUCUAGAGAAUGGUGAUAACGACUCUGAAAUUAGAUGUUAAGGUUUACUCAAAAUCUAGCUUUGCCAAAGGUCCGGCUCUUAGGAACUCCUCUCAGACUGUCUCAUCCAUGCUAUGAAAAUCCCUAUAUUGAUUUGUGCUUCUGGUUUCUGUGUAGCUGCCCGGGAUACAUUGCCCUCUUUCCUUCACUCCAGCAGUGUGCAUUUGCUUUCUGGAAUGUUUAUUGAUCUGUUCGUCCCUGUUAUCUAUCAGAGAGUGCUCAGCAUCACUUCUCAGGGUGUUCACAGCUCUUCUGAGAAGGGGAUGCAAUGUGAGAACAAUGAAGACCCUUCUUGUCACAUCACCUUACACUUUCCAAUUCUUGGGAAAUAAGGCAUGUUAUUUUGCCUUAAGGCUGUACCUGGUGCUGGUUUUACAUGGUUACAGCUGGGAAGUGUUGGUGAUGGGGCUCGGGAGGUGGCAGCAGGUGCCUCCUUCAACGCAUGGAUCUGUUGAUAUGAAAAUCUCCCUUCUGACACUGCCACCACCUCAACAUCAUGUCUGUCAGUUUUUCAAAGGCCUCUGCUGAUGGUGUCUAGACUCUUCUCGGCCAAUAAGAAUUCAAAAGUGGUCUGAAAUAACUUGAGCAAAUAUUGCAAGAUGUUCUGCAUUUAUGGAGAUCUAGCAAACAGUAAAUAUCAUUAAAAUUAACUGCGCCAAACAAACAGACUCUCGCUAUUUAAAUUGAAUUGUCAGCUUUGCAUAAUAAAAGGUUAAAAUUAUGCGUUGCACCAAGAAUAAAUUCGCCCUGAUUAUUUGGUUCACAAGUUAAAAGGCUUGGAGGCCCCCACUUUCUAAUAUGCUUUCUACUAUUAUAUCUAAGCCAUGGUUUUAAAAUGUUUUUAAAUCCAGAGCCUCAAUCACGCAACCAUCCUGGUGUAUGCCCACAUUUCUUUAAAGCAAGAAACAGAAAUUUGUCAUCUCUCGUGACCUCUGCAUCACCGAAGCAUGCAAUAUGUUUGCCAUAGCUUGGUUUCCUGGUGGCAAUAGCUGAUCCAUGUUAGGAUUGUCAAAGCUUCUAUCUCUAGCAUUCAUGUGUACCACUAUAUGCCUACAGUUUCCCUCUCUUCAUUUUGGAUGGUUCUCCUAGACAGAACAGCGAAAGUUGCUCUGCUUCUCUUUUCCCCUCCAACAGACCUCUGAGGAAUGGUAGCUGGAAAAAGCAAAGGAGGACAGGCUGUGUGUCACUCGUCUUUGUUGGGUCUACACAGAGUGCGCCCAGCUUCUCAGACCUCCUGUCUCAACAGGUCUCUAUUUCUUCCUGCUUCUCUCUCUUUCUUUCCUCCCCAUCCCCCACUUGCUAGCGCCUUUCCCAGUCCGUGUUCCCAACAUUCCAGAGGCUAAGGCAGGAAAACCCUGAGUUCUAGGCCACUGUAGGCUUUAUAGCACAUUGGAAAGUCAGAAGAAAGAGGCCCAGGAGUUCGGGGACAACUAGGUUGAACUGUGUUAAGGAAUACUGGGUUAUUGUGUUUUAGCUAGGCGUGGCAGCACCUCCAAGUCAUCUUGGUUUACGGAAGCUCAAGGCAAAAGGUUCAUGAAUUCAAGACUAGUGUGGGUUACAUGGUGAGACUCUCAAUGCAACAGCACCAGAGAUCUGCAGCCCAUCUAGAGAGGUUACAGGCUCUAUUUCCUCAUUAGUGGAGAUCUGCUCUGUGAAAUGAGUUGGACCCAAUACAGUCCAAGCAAAAAGCAAUUAUUAUUAUUUUUUUCUGUGCUAAGUCCAAUGCUGCCUCUUGGCUCCUGGAUGAAUUCCCAGGCAGGCCCUACAAAAUUAACAAAUAGCCUCAUUUAUCACAUAAUAAAAAUGUCCAGUUCGAUCCCAAACUCAGAUUCAUCAUACAAUUUAAACCCCGUCUGUCCUAAAGCAUUGGGCCCAAUCCAAGCCAUGGAGCCAGUGAUGGGGUAGGCAUAGUUGGCAUCACCCCAACUUCACUGCACCCCUACCCCAUUCUGGAACUGGAAAAGGGUGAGGAUAAAAAAGGGAACACAAAAGAAGGUACAUACUAGAAUGUCCUGUCGGUUGGUGAGGGUCUGAUUCUUGCUUGUGCACAAUACUUUUGUGGACUCCAGGGGUGCCCUAUGCCAGGUGCCUUCAUCUUUGCUGUGCUCCUGACAAUCACACUCUUUCCUGGGGCUUUGCAAAUAGAAGGCAGGUGCCAGUCCACACCCCCCCCAACACACACAUAAAGCUCUCUGAGUGGUCUCUGAAGCCUUCUGCCCUUGCUUGAAAUGAGCAGAAACCAAACUUUCCAUCCCCUUCCUCUAUGGGAGAGUAGUGAGAACUCGAAGUGGCAACACCCUGCUUUUGUCAGCUUCUUUAACUAACCCUCGUCAAGCUGCUUCCCCUGGUAAUAAAUUUGCAUGCUCCUCUGUUCCUCUCUUGAGAUGGGUGGCAGAAAAGGGCCUGGCCACCUGCAGCCAGCCCUACAAGGUGCUGUGUCACUUCCUUUUGAGUGUUUCCCAGCUUUUCAUCUAAAACCUCAUCUAAACUUUGCAGGGAGAAUGGUGAUUGUACUAUACCUUCACUCUUAUUACUUAGGGAGCUGCCAGGGAAGUCACACAAUGUCGGAGCGUCCUUUUUAGUUGGAGAGCAACUCUAAAUAUGUUAUGAUUUUUACUCACAAGUGUGUUCCUCAGGAGAGAAAUGCUGGUGGAGUGAGGGUGAGUGCUCUGGAUUUACGUGAGAACUCAGGGGAAGCCCGGGGGGCAUGUUCAGAUGUCAUCCCUGGGCUUUAGGAAAGAUGGUUUCUUAAAGGUCUAGGCAAGUUCUCUCUUCUCUUAAUGUUCAGAGACCAGCUCUGCAGUCCCUUAAAAUGCCCCAGAUUCAUAUGUUCUCACCCCCUUGGUGCUAGUGACUUGAACACCCCUUUCUUUCAUUCAUUAUGGCUUCUGCAUCAAGAACAUUCUGGCAUUGAUAUGAGGUAAGGAAUAUCUUGGAGUGAGGAGAACAGUCUUCCUACCAUCAGCUCAUGACCAAGGGUGAGUCCGACUGCUCCCCCAGCCUCCAUCACUGCUUCCUCCUCUACUGGCAGAAGGGCUGGACCUGCAGUUGAAGUGUCUCACAUACAGAGAAGCAGGCAGAAUAAAUGGCUCUUCUGUGUUCUGGGCUUUUCAGGGCUCUAGUUUGGGGUACUGGGGUGGGACUGAGAGCCUCCUGAGGAUGUUAACUGUACUUUGGGUUUGUAGAUGUGUUGCUGGAACCAUCAGCUGCCUCAAAUAAACUCCUGUCUUUUUGUUGUUUUGCAGCAGUGCCACCUAUAGCCUGGAACUCAUUAUGUAGCUGAGGAUGGCCUUGAACUUCUGAACUUCCUGCCUUUACCCCCAGAGUACUAGAAUUACAGGUUUGAGCCUGGAUUAUGCUGUGCUGGGGUCAAGCCCAGGACUUAACUCCAUGCUAGGCAAGUACUUGACCACUGGAACUAUAUUCCCAGCCCCAAGUCCUGCUUUUAUACAAACUUUGACUCCUGGAGGUGGUCUGUGUGCUCAGCAUUGUAUAAACGAAAGGGUCUAAUUAAUACCUAAGAUUUAAUUAUUAUAAAAAUCACUUUGAAAACUAUGUUCCUUUUCUGAGAAGUUUUGUUUGCAAGAGACGAAGGGAAGGAAAACAAUGUGUGUGUAUAGGUUGAGCACUGAGCCAGAUAGCUAAGGCUAAACAGUGAAAAGAGUAUCUGUGUUAACAACCAAACGAUUUUUGUCUGUUUUGUUUAGCAAUACUUUUUGAAAAAGCUAGUAUUUUGAGACUAUCUUAAAAUGUGUUUUGUUCAUGAUCAUCCUCCCCAACUUCUCCAACAUCAAUUCUCACUUCUCUAUCUUUUUUUAAGCCAUCAAGUCCAAUUUGUGCUGCCCAAAUAUUCUUGGAUGUGUGGUCUUCCACUGGAGUGUGGUUGACUUACCAGGGGCAACAUUCUUAAAGACAGCUGGCUCUCCCUCUCCCUGCAGCUAUCAACAGCCAAUAUGCUCCUUAGCUGGGGGUAAGGAGGAUUUUUAAAUCUAUAAUUUUUAGAGUCAUUUAGUUUCCUAAUGAAAUCAAGCAGAAGGUACUGGGGUUUCCUCUACACCCUCUGUCCCUCCAACCCUACAACUUAGCACUUCAUCGGCAUCCCCAUCUAAGUGGCUCACUGACACAUCCUAUUAUCUAAGGUCCAUAGUUUACAUGAGUGUUCACUCCCAGUGUCCCUCAGAAUCACAGUGAUGUGUGUCAUAUUGGGGUUCUCCAAAAGAACAGAAUGGACAAGAUGAAUAGACCCAUGAAAUAGGGUUUAUUAGAAGAAUGGUUCAUAGGUUGUGGGUCUGGGUAGUCCAGCAAUGGCUGCCUCAUAAUAGAAGGGCGAUAAAUAAGGUUGCAGCUCAAUCCUUGAGGCUACAUUGCCUGAGCAAUCUUACUCUGGGGCUGGAGUCCUAGAGGACUCCUGGAAGGCUGCAGAUGGUCUUCCAUGAAUGCUGGAACCCUGAAGAAACUGGAUUUUACAUGGCGGUGGCAGCAGGAGAGACAAGCUUGCCAAUGAGAGUGAUGGCAAGCAAGCAAAAUGCAAAGUUCCUUCUUCUGUGUCCUUUUAUGUGAACUGCCACAAGAAGGUGUGGCCUGGAUUUAGGGGGUGUCUUUCUGCUUCAAAGAAUCUGAUCUAGAAAAUUCCCCCAAAGGAGUGUCCAGCAGCGUAGGUUUCAGUUGGUUCCAAAUAUAGUCAGGUUGACGGCCAAGGUUAACUAUCACACAUGUCUUCACCAUAAUGAUGGGGGAUCUUUUAAAGAAUUGCUCAGAUCCCCAGACUGAUCUACCACAGGGAGAACUCAUGGAUCCCAGGACAGUAACUCUGGAUGGAGGGUACCAGGCCAAGAUUUCUAUCCAGCUAGUGUCUGUCUGCCAAGUUCUUGUCCUAGUCCUGGGAAGUCCAGAAUAAAGGUGGCUUUGACUCUAGCAGGUUGCCUGUUGUCCUUGGGGACUUUAAGGUCAUUGCAGAUUUCAGACAGGAGUUCAGCUCUUGUAUCUUUGUUUGGAAAAUAUAAGCCAACAAGGGAAAAAUGAAAGAGGAAAGCCAGAUCAUCUAACUCCAGUGUCAUUCUGCCCUUCCCAUGCCUCAGUUCUCUUGUCUGUCAAACGGCCCUCAGAAUUAAGAACAUCACUUGUGUCUUUCCCAACAUGACAUAACCCAUGUUUCCUCUCAGCACGUGUUUGAGUUGAGGCUAAGGCUACUGACAGUUUGGAAAUGGGCUGUCCAUGACAUUUGACAUGUUGAUUGUCCCCCUCUUUCUCAAGCAUUUCUUUGAGGUCCUCUUCAGUUUCGGCUGCAGUUAUUGAAUAGCACAAUUCAGUAGUCUGGAAAUUUCUGAAGAGCAGAGAUUUAUUUAGGUUGUGGUUCUGGGGACUGAAAGGGCCAGGAGCAUGGCACCAAAGCCCACCUAGCACACGGGGGAGAAACUUACAUUUUAAUAUGCUAGAGGACAUUCUGAGACAGCCAGGCACUUUUUAGGGUCCCACUUCUAAUAAUAGACCCAGCAAUGCAGCUGUGAGACCUCUCUCUCAUGGCUUCAUCUAAUACUGGUCACCUCCCAAGAGCCCCACCUUCAAAUACCAUUAAUUCAUAUGGAUUUGGGGUUAAGUUUUCAACACAGGAGGACACAGUGAGGACACAGCACUGGGCUUCCAGAACAGGUUUAUAGUGUUUUUUUUUUUUUCUUCCAUCUUUGGCUCCAUUCUUGUUGUCUCCUUGUUUUAUAAACAGUAACACAGCUCGGAGUUCAGUGCUGGCAAGUCUUCAACCACACUCCAAACUGUUGGUCCUGAGACAUUAGAUGUUAUACACACCUCUGUAUAGUCCUGACUCUCUCAUGAACUACAGACCAACCUAUGUCUAUCACAAGUUCUUUACACAGAUGGGUCAGAAGUAUCUCAGUCUCAAUGUACUAGAUGAACUCUCAUUUCACCUCUUCCUAAACAGCUCCCUGGGCAGUUUUCCCAUCUCAGUAAAUGUCAACUCUAUUCUUCUAGUUGUUCAGCAAUAUCCUUGAGGCCGUCUUUGACUGCCAUUUGCCUCUCAUGAACCCUACCCAGCUCACCAACAAAUUUGGAUCUUCAGAGCGUGCCUGGAUACUGACCACCUCUCUCUCCUCUGAUGUGAUUAAAGACAAGAGUCACCAUCACCUCUUCUUGUCUGUAUUACUGCAAUGGCUAUUUAACUGGUCCCCUGGUGUUCACCUGCUGUUCUAUAAACUAAUUGUGACACACCAAGAAGAGAAUAGUUUAAAUUUUAAUUGGCAAACAGUAAUUGCAUUUAUUUAUGGGGUUGAUACAAUCUCAUGGUAGAUACAUAUUCAUAUGUAUAUACAUAUGUGUAUAGGUAGGUAGAUAAAUGCAAAACUAUUGAAUCAAGAUAAUUAACAUAUCCAUAAGUAGAGGAUGCUUUAAAAAUGUUUAAUUCCUAUGGUUACAAUUCUCUAGAGUGUCUUCCUCAUCUAGCUCAGAAUAAAACCCCAUGUCCUUCUAGAGUCUUCCAUGCCCCACCACCAUCUCUCUGCUUGCUCUGCCUGUUCUUAUGCUCCACUUGGCCUCUUGAUCACAUGACCUCCUUCCUCAAUUGCUCUUUCUCAGGUAUACCUGGUGUGCCCACACUUCAACAUGUUUGUGCAAACUGUUUCUUGAACGUGAUUUUGCCCUGGUCUUCAGGUCUCUAUUUAAAUGCCACUUCAUUGAUGAUGCCUAAACAUAGCAGUAUUAGCCAGGCAAGGAGGAUGUAACUAUGAUCCCAGCUCUUGAGAGGCUGCAUCAGGAAGACUGUGACCUUGAGACGAGCUGGUGGUACUUAGUGAGUCCAGGCCAGUCUGAGCUAUGCAGUGAAACCCUGUCUCAACAAACAAAUAAAACUACCAGCAGCCUGUACCAUCUAGUAUUUGUUCCCUUCACCCACUUCCUUUUUCUCCAGACUUAAUCACAUUUGAUACACUGUAGGCUAUUUUUUUAAUUUAUGUAUUUAUUGCCUGGUAACCUCCAAUGGAGAGCCAUUUUCAAAAAGACAGAGUCCCUGAUUGGCUCACGUUGUAUUUCCAGAUCCUAAAUCUGUGUAUGACACACAGGAAACUCUCAGUAAAUGCCAGUUGAAAGACAAAUGGCAUCGAACCCGUAGGUGGCACUUAGUAAGUUCUUUCUCAAUGAAGGAUUGAAAAAUGUUAAAACAAUACUUGAUACACAAAGAAGAAGCAUGGGAUAAAUGAAUAAAUAGCAUUCAGAAAAGGUCACAUAGGAUGUCCUCAAUAGACACGUAAAUGAAAUGCUCAGAACAGUAACAGUACGUAGGAGACACCAGCACACUCUCACAUCUACUAUUCAUAUAUCAGAACUACCCUAAAGGAGUUUCCCUUCAACUCACAGAGCUGGCAGAGAAAAUGGAAAGGUAGACAAGCUGGAGUAGGGAGUAUUCCAGAAAAAUCCCCGAGACCCAGAAAGGCCCAGUUCAGGAAGGGGCAGACCAUGAAUAUAUAACAUUAAUGGUGUGUUUCUUGUAUGUCCGUUCUAAAGUUCCCAUGGUGACUCUGAAUGUGAACACCUGAUAACAUUUUUCCCUCAUUAAACUUGUCUUAAUGAGCCUCAAAAUUCUGCUGCAGAUUUUUGGUAAAAUUUUCAUUAAAAAUUAUUGAUUUAAUACCUUAAAAUUCUCUCUCUCUCUCUCUCUCUCUCUCUCUCUCUCUCUCUCUCACACACACACACACACACACACACACACACACACACAAAUAGUCCAUCAAGUAUCCUCCAUCUCUUCUGAAGGUUUUAUAGAUGCAUUGCUACCAUGAACCAGUCUGUUUGACUGAUGGUUCAGGAUCAUUCCUCCUCUACUGGUCAGACUAGGGUGGCAGGUCGUGGGGCUAAGAUUCAUUUAUGUUCGGGACUUCAGGAGCAGAAAGAUGACCUUGCUGACUCUAAUAGAUUUCUUGUCCACAACUUUGACAGCACCUGUGGCAACUGUGUAUCUGAUUUCAUGAACAGAAGAAUGACCCGGAGGAUAGCCAGAGAAGCUCAUGAGUCCAGCUAGCCUGGAGCCAUAUCAAUGAUGGCAUAAUCAUCAGAUUUCCAAAAUCUAGGGCCAGCUUCCAGCUUUACUUCCAGAUUCUUACCAGGAUGGCGAUGCAUCUCCUUUUUCAGCUCGUCAAGCUUGUGGGCUAUGUGAGCUGUGUGUGUGACAAUCCAGCACAGGGUCACAGCAGCACUGAUCUGGCUUGCAUUGUUCCAUAUAGUCACUGGAGCAGUGAAGCCAGAUGCUUCCAUUCAUAGAUCAUUUCUGCUGUCACCAGCAAUGCUGCCACAUAGAAUAUCUUUGGCAGAAGCAUUCUUGUGUUUUAUUUAAUAAAUGUUGUUCUUUGGCAAUUCUCUGUACAUAUGUAAUGCAUUCUCAUCACUCCCCACCCCCCAGCACAACACUCCCUCUAUUAUUCCCUCUAUCCCCUUCCCCUUCCAGCCUCUCUUCUUCUUCCUUAGUCUCUUUCCCACAUUCAUGACAUUUUGCUUUGUUUUGUGUUCCACAUAGUAUCAUUGGGGCCAUCUGUGUG